rnacentral:rRNA from 1 species
UGCGAGCGUUAAUCGGAAUUACUGGGCGUAAAGCGCACGUAGUCGGCUUUGCAAGUCGGUUGUGAAAUCCCCGGGCUCAACCUGGGAACUGCAUCCGAGACUGCAUUGCUAGAGUAUGGGAGAGGGAAGCGGAAUUUCUGGUGUAGCAGUGAAAUGCGUAGAUAUCAGAAGGAACAUCAGUGGCGAAGGCGGCUUCCUGGACCAAUACUGACGAUCAGGUGCGAAAGCGUGGGGAGCAAACAGG